CUGCGACCGAUUGGUGGUUGCUUAGUCCCGGUGAGGGCUAGCUCUCCAGUCCAGUCCCAUACUUGUUUCACGGUACGUCUCCAUGGUUCUCCUCUGUUGUCCAGCCAAUUUAAUUUCCUCUGACUGAUUUGCAUUCGUCUUCCACCUGGGAGGGACUCUAUCGGCCGGUCUUUGGCUGGUGUUCUGAUGGAUGUUCCCUCCCGACCCAAGUGGAUUUGCCUCUAUCGGGGGAGCCCCUUUCGGAAACGUUUGCCCCCUAUUUCGAUACGCUCCAGCCGCGCAAAGUUCGUGCGAGGUCGAGCCGAACUGUCUGACCAAGUGGCCCUCCAUUGGUGUUCCGGUGCGGGGAGUGGCACACUCAGGCUGCGAAGCAUGUGGUGAUGGUCAUCCCGUAACGCAUCGGCGCCAGAAACACGUAUUCUCAAACCCUGUCUUUAAACGUGGACCUACCCGGUUGACCCAAGCGGUCUAUCCGAGGUUGUGGUUCCUUUUGCCCAGUUGAUGGCGUUCCGAAUAGGCGCUCCAGCUAGACAAGAGACCUCUCGAGCGGCGCCCGGCACCUGUGGCUCCGGCCAUGGGCAGUUCAGGGCCUCCCGCUGGGUGCUUGGUGGAUAGUGCCAGGGCCUCCUCCCCUGACGGGAUAGGAUCGGUCCCUGGUGUUGUUUGCUUCGAGUGCCCAGGUACAAACAUCUAUGUUGUGAGUGGCUACCUGGUUGAUCCUGCCAGUAGCAUAUGCUUGUCUCAAAGAUUAAGCCAUGCAAGUCUAAGUACACACGGCCGGUACAGUGAAACUGCGAAUGGCUCAUUAAAUCAGUUGUGGUUCCUUUUGCCCAGUUGAUGGCGUUCCGAAUAGGCGCUCCAGCUAGACAAGAGACCUCUCGAGCGGCGCCCCGGCACCUGUGGCUCCGGCCAUGGGCAGUUCAGGGCCUCCCGCUGGGCGCUUGGUGGAUAGCGCCAGGGCCUCCUCCCCUGACGGGAUAGGAUCGGUCCCUGGUUGUUGUUUGCUUCGAGCGCCCAGGUACAAACAUCUAAGUUGUGAGUGGCUACCUGGUUGAUCCUGCCAGUAGCAUAUGCUUGUCUCAAAGAUUAAGCCAUGCAAGUCUAAGUACACACGGCCGGUACAGUGAAACUGCGAAUGGCUCAUUAAAUCAGUUAUGGUUCUUUUGAUCGCUCAAACGUCACUUGAAU
ensembl:lncRNA